rnacentral:sRNA from 1 species
GGGCACUUCAUCCUGUCUCUGUCCCUUCGUCAGCUAAUCUUGGCUUAAGCCUUCAUGCGACAAGGUAAACUCUUUUUCUUACUUUUU